AUGCAUGCAAGUUGUACGAUGGUUAUGAUCUUCGGAUUGUAAUCUAGUAGCGAACGGCUGAGUAACACGUGAGUAACCUACCUUCAAGUGGGGAAUAACCUUUCAAAAGGAAGGCUAAUACCGCAUGUAAUAAAUCAAGCAUUGCUUGAUUUAUUAAAGUCUUAGGACGCUUGGAGACGGGCUUGCGGCUGAUUAGCUGGUUGGUAGGGUAAUGGCCUACCAAGGCGAUGAUCGGUAGCUGGUCUGAGAGGAUGGUCAGCCAGAUGGGGAUUGAGAUACGGCCCCAACUCCUACGGGAGGCAGCAGCAAGGGAUCUUGGGCAAUGGACGAAAGUCUGACCCAGCGACACCGCGUGAGGGAAGAAGGCCUUCGGGUUGUAAACCUCUUUUCUCGGGGAAGAAGUUUGACGGUACCCGGGGAAUAAGCCUUGGCUAAUUACGUGCCAGCAGCCGCGGUAAAACGUAGGAGGCGAACGUUAUCCGGAUUUACUGGGCGUAAAGAGAGCGUAGGCGGCUCUUUAAGUCGAGCGUGAAAUCUUCUGUCUCAACCAGAAGACGGUGUUUGAUACUGGAGGGCUCGAGAGCAGCAGAAGGAAAUGGAAUUCCCAGUGUAGCGGUGAAAUGCGUAGAUAUUGGGAAGAACACCAGUGGCGAAGGCGAUUUCCUAGGCUGUUUCUGACGCUGAGGCUCGAAAGCGUGGGGAGCGAAGCGGAUUAGAUACCCGCGUAGUCCACGCCCUAAACGGUGGACACUAGAUAUAGGAGGUAUCGACCCUUUCUGUGUCGAAGCUAACGCUUUAAGUGUCCCGUCCUGGG
rnacentral:rRNA from 1 species